AACGAACGCUGGCGGCAUGCCUAACACAUGCAAGUCGAACGAGACCUUCGGGUCUAGUGGCGCACGGGUGCGUAACGCGUGGGAACCUGCCCUUAGGUUCGGAAUAACUCCCCGACAGGGGUGCUAAUACCGGAUAAUGUCUUCUGACCAAAGAUUUAUCGCCUUUGGAUGGGCCCGCGUUGGAUUAGCUAGUUGGUAGGGUAAAAGCCUACCAAGGCUACGAUCCAUAGCUGGUCUGAGAGGAUGAUCAGCCACACUGGGGCUGAGACACGACCCAGACUCCUGCGGGAGGCAGCAGUGGGGAAUAAUGGAAAAUGGGCGAGAGCCUGAUGGAGCGAUGCCGCGAAAGUGAUGAUGGCGUUAGGGUUGUAAAGCUCUUUUACCCGGGAUGAUAAUGACAGUACCGGGAGAAUAAGCUCCGGCUAACUCCGUG
rnacentral:rRNA from 1 species